GUUCUGUUCGCGAACCUGAAGGGGACCGAGAGAAAUCUCCAGACAUGCUGGCCCUGCAACUAAGCAAGAGACUGUCUCGAUCUCUUUCAUCUUCUUCUACUAAAACUAUUACUUUUCAUAGAACCCUAACAACACUCACACAAUCUUCUUCUCAUUCACUAUCUUACUUGCUAUCCUCGGUCAAUCAUUACAUCACUGGCACCGGCAAUGUCGAUGCAUGUCCGUGGUCCACCAUUCAAUCUCGCGGCGUCAAAGUUACUGCCAUCCAUUUAAAACCUGGCAAUGUUAUUCAGAGAAAAGGCAAAAUUUAUGAGGUGGUGGAUGCAAGGCAUAAGCAGCAGGGAAGAGGAGGAGCAAUGAUGCAGGUGGAGCUUCGCAACAUAGACGGUGGAAAUAAGGAAAGCUUACGGUUUGGUACAGAGGAUGCUGUUGAAAAGGUAUUUGUUGAGGAGAAGUCCUUUACGUGUUUAUAUGUAGAACAUGGAACAGCAUAUCUAAUGGACCCUGAAAAAUUUGAGCAACUUGAAGUGCCAACAGAGUUGUUUGGUGAGGCUGCUGCAUAUCUGAAAGAGGAAAUGAAGGUUACAUUGCAGUUAUAUGAUGAAAGACCUUUGUCUGGGUCAAUUCCAAAACAUGUUACUUGCACCAUAAAGGAGACACCACCUCAUGUGAAGGGGCUUUCAGCUACACCUCGGAGCAAGCACGUGCCUAGGCGCAGGACUCCUUUGCGUCUUAGUGCGCUUUGUGCCUUUAAUAACUAUGAUGACAUUAUGUGCAUAUUCAUGCACUUUGUGGUUUUUCUCAGGUAUAAAAAGGCCCUGCUGGACAACAAUGUCACUAUUCUAGUAAGUUAAAAUCUGUCAUUUCAUCUACUGCUUUCUGGUUGCUGCUAUCAUGCAGUCAAAACUGUUAUGGCCACAGCCUCUUAAAAUUUUCAGAUAGUAGGCUUGUUUUAUCCAAUCUACCCAUGAGUUUUCAUUGGAUGCUUGAAAGUUGAAACUUUGAGAUUAAAAUUUCACCCAAAAUGAGUAAACUACCGUUUCUAACUUUUAUAUGAGUUUUCAGAUAUUAGGCUUGUUUCUCGUUUCUGUGUUUUUGCUCUCAUGACGUAAUUUUUCUCCCUAAAAAAGAAAAAAAUCACUUUGUGGUUGAAAUUGAAGCAACUCAUCUAAGAAAUUUUGGUAAUAGCAAAAGGCUAAAUAACCAAAAAAUUCAAAACUUUGUGUGCUUUAUUAGUUUUAGCCAAACUUUUUGAUUUGAUCCUCAAACUUUCACAUUGAUUUCAGUCUUAACAAUUACCUUAAUCUGAUGGUCAAUUGCCUAUUCCUAUAUUAAUUUGAAUUGUCUUAGGCUCUAAAUCCAAGAUAAAAUAGAGAAAGAUGUGAAUAAGAACUAUCAGUCGGAAGAAAGGAAAAAAUUUGAAAAUUAAGAUAACAAUAUUAAAUUUUAUUUAAUUAUUAAUUUUUUUUAAUCAAUGUGAAGUCUUUUAAUGCAAAUAUUAAAAAUUAAUGAAUAAAUUAAUAAAAUUAAAAUAAUUGGCUAAAACAGAUAAUUGAGCAAAAAGAUUUUGAUUAUUUUUUUCAGUUGAUAAACUCAAUUAUUUUCAAUUGAAUUUAUUGCUAAAAACGAAAUCAAUUUAAAAGUUUGAGGAUCAAAUUGGUUGUUUUGGCUAAAACUGGCGCAAAGGUUUACAUUUUUAUUGUUGUUUGGCCAUAGCAAAAAGAUUGUGUAAAUUUGCUUUUCCAUUGGUGUACUGUGUGAAUUUAUGCAUUUUUUAGGCUUUUUUUGUGCUUUCUUUCUUUGUAUGUGUGUGCAAUUUGGCCAUAACUUUUUUUUUCUUCGAGAAACUAUAAAAUAAUUAUAUAUAAGGAGCAAAUGUAAAUCAGCGGUAUUUGAACAAGGAGAUAUGAGGGAUGAAAAAUGCUCCAUGUAGGUUAUAAAUUUUGGCAACUAUUGGGACAAGCAGAGGACAUGCUUAAAAUGUUUUAGGAUAUGUACUGUUAAAUUUUUUUUUUUUUUGGGGCACCCCUAAGUUUCAAGUAGCACCACCUUUCUUGUUUGAAACAAUAUGAAUUUUCUUAUAUCCCUUGUUAUAUCCUUGCAUGUCUUCUGAAAUACCCAGGUACCUCCUUUUUUAGAGGUUGGUGAAGAAAUAGUUGUCAAUACUAUUGAUAACUCCUAUAUGAGAAGGGCCAACUAAUAAUGGGAACAUGCUGCCUUGUUCGUGGAGGGAGGUAUGUAUUGCAAAAUAUAUUUAUUGAUGAAAGCUAGAAGAUAGGGCUAGGUUUAGGAAACAAUGAAAAAAAUUGAAUUGUUCUUUGAUGCCAAAAUAAUAUCCACGUGUAUAGACCUGGAUGCUAAUUCUGAGUUGUCCUUGGCCUUGUGUGGAUAUUAAUUUGUUACACUAUUAUAUUGAUGAGAAAUGGAGAAUAAAGAGUAUAUUAAUCUUCAGGGAAAUGGAGACGAAAAUUGCGCUCCAUUUUCCUCCUCUGUGUUUUUAAUAUUAUUGUUAAGGGAGAAUAAGAAUUGAAGUUGUUUU
rnacentral:misc_RNA from 1 species